rnacentral:rRNA from 1 species
GACGAACGCUGGCGGCGUGCUUAACACAUGCAAGUCGAACGGAAAGGCCCUGCUUUUGUGGGGUGCUCGAGUGGCGAACGGGUGAGUAACACGUGAGUAACCUGCCCUGGACUUUGGGAUAACGUCAGGAAACUGGGGCUAAUACCUGAUAGGAGCUCCUGCUGCAUGGUGGGGGUUGGAAAGUUUCGGCGGGUGGGGAUGGACGCGCGGCUUAUCAGCUUGUUGGUGGGGUAGUGGCUUACCAAGGCUUUGACGGGUAGCCGGCCUGGGAGGGUGGCCGGCCACAUUGGGACUGAGAUACGGCCCAGACUCCUACGGGAGGCAGCAGUGGGGAAUAUUGCACAAUGGGCGGAAGCGUGAUGCAGAAACGCCGCGUGCGGGAUGACGGCCUUCGGGUUGUAAAACGCUUUCGCCUGUGACGCAGCGUGAGUGACGGUAAUGGGUAAAGAAGCACCGGCUAACUACGUG